UAGGGAAUAUUGCACAAUGGGCGGAAGCCUGAUGCAGCAACGCCGCGUGCGCGAAGAAGGCCUUCGGGUUGUAAAGCGCUUUUCUGGGAGGUGAGGAAGGACAGUAUCCCAGGAAUAAGGCUCGGCUAACUACGUGCCAGCAGCCGCGGUAAAACGUAGGAGCCAAGCGUUAUCCGAAUUCACUGGGCGUAAAGCGCGUGCAGGCGGCCUGAUAAGUUGGAUGUGAAAUCUCCUGGCUCAACUGGGAGAGGCCGUUCAAUACUGUUGGGCUCGAGGGCGACAGAGGGAGGUGGAAUUCCGGGUGUAGUGGUGAAAUGCGUAGAUAUCCGGAGGAACACCAGAGGCGAAGGCGACCUCCUGGGUCGUACCUGACGCUCAGACGCGAAAGCUAGGGGAGCGAAUGG
rnacentral:rRNA from 1 species